GCAGAGAGCCAGAUAACUCGCAGAAAAAGGAGCACUGUGCGGCUGAGAGAUUAGACCAUGCUUUCGCUGAUUUAGACUGUAACUCAGAACUUGCCUUCUGGUGCUAUAAAGACCUGGGAGUGAAGAACACCAUGGUGAGGAUGAAGAUUCAGACUACUGCUAACCUUUCAGAUCCAGCUAUUCAUGCCCAGAUUCUCCAGCAGCUAGAUGAAAGGUUCAAGACUUUACGGAGUGACGUUAAACUGAGGUGGGUGACUGAACCUGAAAAACAAGAGG